rnacentral:rRNA from 1 species
AUUGAACGCUGGCGGCAGGCCUAACACAUGCCAGUCGAGCGGAUGAAGGGAGCUUGCUCCUGGAUUCAGUGGCGGACGGGUGAGUAAUGCCUAGGAAUCUGCCUGGUAGUGGGGGAUAACGUCCGGAAACGGGCGCUAAUACCGCAUACGUCCUGAGGGAGAAAGUGGGGGAUCUUCGGACCUCACGCUAUCAGAUGAGCCUAGGUCGGAUUAGCUAGUUGGUGGGGUAAAGGCCUACCAAGGCGACGAUCCGUAACUGGUCUGAGAGGAUGAUCAGUCACACUGGAACUGAGACACGGUCCAGACUCCUACGGGAGGCAGCAGUGGGGAAUAUUGGACAAUGGGCGAAAGCCUGAUCCAGCCAUGCCGCGUGUGUGAAGAAGGUCUUCGGAUUGUAAAGCACUUUAAGUUGGUAGGAAGGGCAGUAAGUUAAUACCUUGCUGUUUUGACGUUACCAACAGAAUAAGCACCGGCUAACUUCGUG